rnacentral:rRNA from 1 species
GCCAGACUCCUACGGGAGGCAGCAGCGGGGAAUAUUGGACAAUGGGGGGAACCCUGAUCCAGCGACGCCGCGUGAGUGAAGAAGUAUUUCGGUAUGUAAAGCUCUAUCAGCAGGGAAGAAAGAAAUGACGGUACCUGACUAAGAAGCCCCGGCUAACUACGUGCCAGCAGCCGCGGUAAUACGUAGGGGGCAAGCGUUAUCCGGAUUUACUGGGUGUAAAGGGAGCGUAGACGGCAUGGCAAGUCAGAUGUGAAAGCCCGGGGCUCAACCCCGGGACUGCAUUUGAAACUGUCAGGCUGGAGUGCAGGAGAGGUAAGUGGAAUUCCUAGUGUAGCGGUGAAAUGCGUAGAUAUUAGGAGGAACACCAGUGGCGAAGGCGGCUUACUGGACUGUAACUGACGUUGAGGCUCGAAAGCGUGGGGAGCAAACAGGAUUAGAUACCCUGGUAC